GAUGAACGCUGGCGGCGUGCCUAAUACAUGCAAGUCGAGCGAACAGACGAGGAGCUUGCUCCGCUGACGUUAGCGGCGGACGGGUGAGUAACACGUGGAUAACCUACCUAUAAGACUGGGAUAACGUCGGGAAACCGGAGCUAAUACCGGAUAAUAUAUUGAACCGCAGGGUUCAAUAGUGAAAGACGGUUUUGCUGUCACUUGUAGAUGGAUCCGCGCCGCAUUAGCUAGUUGGUAAUGUAACGGCUUACCAAGGCAACGAUGCGUAGCCGACCUGAGAGGGUGAUCGGCCACACUGGCACUGAGACACGGUCCCGGCUCCUACGGGAGCCAGCAGUAGGGAAUCUUCCGCAAUGGGCGAGAGCCUGACGGAGCAACGCCGCGUGAGUGAUGAAGGUCUUCGGAUCGUAAAACUCUGUUAUUAGCGAAGAACAAGUGUGUAAGUGACUAUGCGCGUCUUGACGGUACCUAAUCAGAAAGCCCCGGCUAACUACGUG
rnacentral:rRNA from 1 species